AAUCAACGCUGGCGGCGUGCCUCAGACAUGCAAGUCGAACGAUUAAAGCUCUCUUCGGAGAGUGUAUAGAGUGGCGCACGGGUGAGUAACACGUAAGUAAUCUACCUUCGAGUGGGGAAUAACGUCCGGAAACGGACGCUAAUACCGCAUAAUGCAGCGGCAUCGCAAGAUGACAGUUGUUAAAGAUUUAUCGCUUGGAAGAGGAGCUUGCGGNAGAUUAGCUUGUUGGUAAGGUAACGGCUUACCAAGGCCUACGACCUGUAUCCGGUCUAAGA
rnacentral:rRNA from 1 species